UACGGAAGGCAGCAGUGGGGGAAUAUUGCACAAUGGGCGCAAGCCUGAUGCAGCCAUGCCGCGUGUAUGAAGAAGGCCUUCGGGUUGUAAAGUACUUUCAGUCGUGAGGAAGGUGUUAAGGUUAAUAACCUUAGCAAUUGACGUUAGCGACAGAAGAAGCACCGGCUAACUCCGUGCCAGCAGCCGCGGUAAUACGGAGGGUGCGAGCGUUAAUCGGAAUUACUGGGCGUAAAGGGCACGCAGGCGGUUAAUUAAGUUGGAUGUGAAAUCCCCGGGCUUAACCUGGGAAUGGCAUUCAAGACUGGUUAGCUAGAGUCUUGUAGAGGGGGUUAGAAUUCCAUGUGUAGCGGUGAAAUGCGUAGAGAUGUGGAGGAAUACCGGUGGCGAAGGCGGCCCCUGGACAAAGGACUGACGCUCAUGUGCGAAAGCGUGGGGAGCAAAC
rnacentral:rRNA from 1 species